GACGAACGCUGGCGGCGUGCCUAAUACAUGCAAGUAGAACGCUGAAGGAGGAGCUUGCUUCUCCGGAUGAGUUGCGAACGGGUGAGUAACGCGUAGGUAACCUGCCUGGUAGCGGGGGAUAACUACUGGAAACGAUAGCUAAUACCGCAUAACAGUAGAUGUUGCAUGACAUUUGCUUAAAAGGUGCAAUUGCAUCACUACCAGAUGGACCUGCGUUGUAUUAGCUAGUUGGUGAGGUAACGGCUCACCAAGGCGACGAUACAUAGCCGACCUGAGAGGGUGAUCGGCCACACUGGGACUGAGACACGGCCCAGACGCCUACAGGAGUCAGCAGUAGGGAGUCUUCGGCAAUGGACGGAAGUCUGACCGAGCAACGCCGCGUGAGUGAAGAAGGUUUUCGGAUCGUAAAGCUCUGUUGUAAGAGAAGAACGAGUGUGAGAGUGGAAAGUUCACACUGUGACGGUAUCUUACCAGAAAGGGACGGCUAACUACGUG
rnacentral:rRNA from 1 species